rnacentral:rRNA from 1 species
GAUGAACGCUAGCUACAGGCUUAACACAUGCAAGUCGAGGGGCAGCAUGAACUUAGCUUGCUAAGUUUGAUGGCGACCGGCGCACGGGUGAGUAACACGUAUCCAACCUGCCGAUGACUCGGGGAUAGCCUUUCGAAAGAAAGAUUAAUACCCGAUGGCAUAGUUCUUCCGCAUGGUAGAACUAUUAAAGAAUUUCGGUCAUCGAUGGGGAUGCGUUCCAUUAGGUUGUUGGCGGGGUAACGGCCCACCAAGCCUUCGAUGGAUAGGGGUUCUGAGAGGAAGGUCCCCCACAUUGGAACUGAGACACGGUCCAAACUCCUACGGGAGGCAGCAGUGAGGAAUAUUGGUCAAUGGACGAGAGUCUGAACCAGCCAAGUAGCGUGAAGGAUGACUGCCCUAUGGGUGGUAAACUUCUUUUAUACGGGAAUAAAGUGAGGCACGGGUGCCUUUUUGUAUGUACCGUAUGAAUAAGGAUCGGCUAACUCCGUG